rnacentral:rRNA from 1 species
GAUGUACGCUGGCGGCGUGCCUAAUACAUGCAAGUCGAGCGAACAGACGAGGAGCUUGCUCCUCUGACGUUAGCGGCGGACGGGUGAGUAACACGUGGAUAACCUACCUAUAAGACUGGGAUAACUUCGGGAAACCGGAGCUAAUACCGGAUAAUAUAUUGAACCGCAUGGUUCAAUAGUGAAAGACGGUUUUGCUGUCACUUAUAGAUGGAUCCGCGCCGCAUUAGCUAGUUGGUAAGGUAACGGCUUACCAAGGCAACGAUGCGUAGCCGACCUGAGAGGGUGAUCGGCCACAAUGGAACUGAGACACGGUCCAGACUCCUACGGGAGGCAGCAGUAGGGAAUCUUCCGCAAUGGGCGAAAGCCUGACGGAGCAACGCCGCGUGAGUGAUGAAGGUCUUCGGAUCGUAAAACUCUGUUAUUAGGGAAGAACAAAUGUGUAAGUAACUAUGCACGUCUUGACGGUACCUAAUCAGAAAGCCACGGCUAACUACGUG